rnacentral:tRNA from 1 species
GCCUGUGUAGCUCAGUGGUAGAGCGACUGCCUUGUAAGCAGUAGGUCGGGGGUUCAAAUCCCUCCGCAGGCU